AGAGAUGAAAUUAACAUAAAUUUGAAAAUCAUAUUCAUGCAGAGCAAGAAAAGUUCAAUGUCUUAAGUACACUUUGACAAUGCCAGGAGAACUGGGUAAAAGAGAUGCAUAAUAAUACAGCACAAAAGCAACCUAACCAAAUACCUGCAAGCUGCCCAUUAACAAAAAUGCAAACAAAAUCGUGCAUGCUAUCAAAAUAUCAAUCAUUGAACUAACAUCCUUUUGCUUCCAAAAUGAGAUGUCAUCGUCAGAAAUAUAUAUCCUGCAUUCGCCAGAGAUAAAUAAAUAGAGUAACUCAUCACUGUUUCAGUUUGCAACCAAUUAUAAAUGUAUGAAUCUAUUUGUAACCAAAUCUUCCAGUGUUUUUGGUAUAUGUGUUGUGUGGCUAUUCACUUGUUAAAGGAAAAGAAAAAAUGAGUCAGAUAAUCGGGAGACAACAGAACAUUCAGAGAAUCAUGUUAUUGCGUGGACAAUCAUUCAUAUUGUCGCCCACCAAACAAUUAAUCUCAAAAGCCAAAAGUACCAAAAGGUAUGCAGAUGCUCAUCCAAAGAGGCUUGACGUUGUUUUUUUUUUUUUUUUGGUAAAUAAUUUCAUUUUAUUACCAAAGUGAACAUUACAAAGCAAUCUUCCAGCAGCUGGUAACACAGCCUGGGAGCAAUACUAUCGCCUCACUUCUAUACCUUCACUACUAAUCUGACUAUCACAUUUGUGGAUAAUAGUUCAGAGUAGGCACCACACUAGCUAACUUCGGCUUUGAACUAGCAAGUAAUAUCAUUUCCUGAAUUACUAUCCUUACUAUGCUAUCAGGCUGUACAGUGGUGUUCCUAAAUAUUCUGCUAUUUCUCUCAUGCCAAAUGUAGUAAACGCAAGCAGCCAACAUCAUCCUGAACACAUGAGCACCAGCUGAUUGCCCUCUAAUGUUUGCAACACUCCAGUUUAUUUCACUACUCCAUGUCAUAGCAACUCUGUGUAUCUUCACCCAUCUCAACAACGCAUUCCACAUUGCAGCAGCAUACUGACACUCGAAAAACAAGUGUUCAACUGUCUCAUCUUCUUUCCUGCAUAGCACACAUUGAGCUUGCACCUGCAUCUUCCACUUGGUUAGUCUAUCUUUGGUGUACAACCUGUUCAUAAUAGCCAACCUUAGAAUGAAGAUCCAUUUAGGAGCCCCAUAGUUGUUACAAACUAAUCUUCUCCAUUCCACCUUUUGGAAGCACCCCAUCAGUCAUUUAUACAUGUAGCUUGUACGGAACUGGUGCAUAUCUUCAAGGUCUUUUAUUGUAUACCCUGCUGCCAGCCCGUAUUUGUGAGCCUUGAAAAUUUUCUGCAAUAUCCAGGAAGCCUGCCGAGGCAUCACCUCUUCAAUUAGCUCAUUCUUUAUGUAAUAAGUAUGCACCCAAUGCACCCACAUUUUAUCUUUUUUCGGGCAUAGGUUCCAUAGUAGUUUCAGAAUAGCAGCCUUGUUCCAGGUAGUCAUAUCAAUUAUGUUUACACCUCCACAAGUCUUGGAUUUGCACAAAUUCUCCCAUGCUAUAAGUGCCUUUUUGGAUAUCUCAUCUGUUCCUGUCCAUAAAAAUCUUCUGCAUAAGCUUUCCAUGACCUGGAUAACACCUUUAGGAAGCACAAACACUUGUGACCAAUAGGUUUGGAUUGAGAAUAAGACACCUUUGAUCAGCUGAAGUCUACCAGCGUAUGACAAAUACUUAGUGGUCCAGGAUGUAAUCCGGCUCAUAAUCUUCUCAAUCAAUGGCUGACACUCAAUGAUGGCUAUCCUUUUUGUACUGAAAGGAACUCCAAGUUAUUUAAAUGGCAUGGUACCAGCGUUGAAGCCUAAGACUUCUAGGAUCUGCUGUUGUAUAUUUCUUGGCACUCCCCCAAAGUAGACAGAGCUCUUAUCAGCAUCUGCUUGAAUCCCGAAGCCAUAGAAAACUUUGUGUAGCAAGUAAAUAAUAGUUCAACAGAUUUCACAUCACCUUUGCAAAACAACAGAAGAUCAUCUGCAAAUCCAAGUUGAAUCAGAUUCACUUUUGCACACUUUGGGUGGAACUUGAAUUCCUUUUGCAAUCUCAGACCCUUCAACAAUCUUGUGAGAUAUUCCAUUACGAUAACAAAAAGGUAAGGGGACAUAGGGUCCCCUUGCCUCGAUCCUCUUUUAGCAGGGAAUGGAGUAGAUGAGCUUCCAUUGAUCACCACAGAAUAUGAAACAGUACUUAUGCAUUGCAUAAUCCAAUUCACAAAUAUUUCAGGGAAGUUCAGCCCUUUCAGCAUCUGCUCUAUAAAUGGCCACUCCAUAGAAUCGUACGCUUUUUGAAUAUCAAUCUUUAGCAUGCACCUUGGGGAAAUGCCUUUCCUACCAUAUCCUUUGACCAUUUCAUGGCUUAAUUUAUGUUGUCUGUUAUCACUCUACCCGGUACAAAAGCAGCCAGGCAAGGGUCAAUCAAAUUAUCCAUCACCUGUUUCAUCCUGGAAGUGAGUACUUUUGAGCUAAUUUUGUACAAGGUAGUACAGCAGGAGAUUGGCCUAAACUCUUUAACUGUGUUAGGAUUUUUAACCUUUGGAAUCAAGAUCACACUGGUACAGUUCACUGGUUUAAACAUUAUCCCACCAUUAAAAAAUUCAAGUAUAGCGUCAGUAACUUCGGUACCUAGCACAGGCCAAGCUUUUUGGAAAAAACAUGCAUUCAUACCAUCACAACCUGGUGCUUUAUUCCCAUCUAUAGCAUUCAGGGCUUCUAAUACUUCCUGUCUAGUGACAGGCUUGAUUAACUCCAGUUGUUGAUCCCUGCUAAUCAUAAUCCCAUUUCUGAUUACUGUAGGAUCAAGUGUAGGUACCAUGCUGGCUGCAGUACCCAGAAGAGUAAUGUAAAAUUCAGUAAUCUCUCUUUGAAUAGCAUCUUGGGAGUGCAGCAUGUUGCCUUUUAAGGAUACUAAGUUCUUGAUUUUGCUUUGAGCUUGUCUACCCUUUAAACUUGCAAAGAAAUAUUUUGUAUUUGCAUCUCCUACUCUGAGCCAAAUCAUCCUGGACUUUUGUUGCAGAAUCUUCUCCUCUAUAAGACACCACUGUUCGAGCUUCAUUUUAAUCAGCUUUUUCUUCAAACAGUUCAGGAAAACUGGGGUGCUCAGCUAGCACAUUGAAGAAUUUGAAUGCCAUUUUUCCAGGUGGUUUGCUGCUGUCUACUUCAAUACCUAUUGGAGAAUGGUCUGAGCAUCUUGGGUCCAUCACAAUAGCUUCAACAUUAGGGAAUCUCUGCACCCAUUCAGCAUUAACUAUGGCUCUAUCUAACUUGCUAAAAACAUGUCCAUUAGUCCAUGUAUACCUCCUCCCCACUGACCACAGCUCUGUAAGUUUAUGGUCUCCUAGGAACUGCGCAAAAUCUUUAAUUUCAUUAUCUGUUACUGGACUUCCCUUAAUCCUAUCAUGAUGUUCCAGUAUUGUAUUAUAGUCACCUAUUAGUAUCCAAGGCUAGUGUACACCAGAUGCUAUGGUGCCAAGAGCAGGCCAAAGCUUACCCCUAUCAGCAAUUGAGUGUAACCCAUAUAUGGCUGUAAACAUAAUCUUCUCAUUAUUUAGCUCCACUUUUCCAUGUAUCUCAAAA